AGUGAACGCUGGCGGUAGGCCUAACACAUGCAAGUCGAACGGCAGCACAGUAAGAGCUUGCUCUUACGGGUGGCGAGUGGCGGACGGGUGAGGAAUACAUCGGAAUCUACUUUUUCGUGGGGGAUAACGUAGGGAAACUUACGCUAAUACCGCAUACGACCUACGGGUGAAAGCAGGGGAUCUUCGGACCUUGCGCGACUGAAUGAGCCGAUGUCGGAUUAGCUAGUUGGCGGGGUAAAGGCCCACCAAGGCGACGAUCCGUAGCUGGUCUGAGAGGAUGACCACCACACUUGGAACUGAGACACGGCCCAGACCCCGAGGGGAGGCAGGAGGGGGAAAUUUUGGAAAAGGGGGGCAACCCUGACCCAGCCAUCCCGGGGGGGUGAAGAAGGCCUUCGGGUGUUAAAGCCCUUUUGUUGGGAAAAAAAAGCAGCAGGUUAAUACCCCGCUGUUUUGACGGUCCCCAAAAAAAAAGCACCGGCUAACUUCGU
rnacentral:rRNA from 1 species